rnacentral:lncRNA from 1 species
UUGAAGGUAUGGCUGAGUGGCUUUAAGGCAUUGGUUUGCUAAAUCGACAUACAAGAAGAUUGUAUCAUGGGUUCAAAUCCCAUUUCCUCCUGGAAUCGCUAGUAAUCGCGGAUCCGCAUGCCGCGGUGAAUAUGUACCCGGGCCUUGUACACAACCGCCCGUCACACCCUGGGAAUAGGUUUCGCCCGAAGCAUCGGACCAAUGAUCACCCAUGACUUCUGUGUACCACUAGUGCCACAAAGGCUUUUGGUGGUCUUAUUGGCGCAUACCACGGUGGGGUCUUCGACUGGGGUGAAGUCGUAACAAGGUAGCCGUAGGGGAACCUGUGGCUG